rnacentral:rRNA from 1 species
GAUUGAACGCUGGCGGCAGGCCUAACACAUGCAAGUCGAACGGUAACAGGAAGCAGCUUGCUGCUUUGCUGACGAGUGGCGGACGGGUGAGUAAUGUCUGGGAAACUGCCUGAUGGAGGGGGAUAACUACUGGAAACGGUAGCUAAUACCGCAUAACGUCGCAAGACCAAAGAGGGGGACCUUCGGGCCUCUUGCCAUCGGAUGUGCCCAGAUGGGAUUAGCUAGUAGGUGGGGUAACGGCUCACCUAGGCGACGAUCCCUAGCUGGUCUGAGAGGAUGACCAGCCACACUGGAACUGAGACACGGUCCAGACUCCUACGGGAGGCAGCAGUGGGGAAUAUUGCACAAUGGGCGCAAGCCUGAUGCAGCCAUGCCGCGUGUAUGAAGAAGGCCUUCGGGUUGUAAAGUACUUUCAGCGGGGAGGAAGGUGUUGAGGUUAAUAACCUCAGCAAUUGACGUUACCCGCAGAAGAAGCACCGGCUAACUCCGUGCCAGCAGCCGCGGUAAUACGGAGGGUGCAAGCGUUAAUCGGAAUUACUGGGCGUAAAGCGCACGCAGGCGGUCUGUCAAGUCGGAUGUGAAAUCCCCGGGCUCAACCUGGGAACUGCAUUCGAAACUGGCAGGCUAGAGUCUUGUAGAGGGGGGUAGAAUUCCAGGUGUAGCGGUGAAAUGCGUAGAGAUCUGGAGGAAUACCGGUGGCGAAGGCGGCCCCCUGGACAAAGACUGACGCUCAGGUGCGAAAGCGUGGGGAGCAAACAGGAUUAGAUACCCUGGUAGUCCACGCCGUAAACGAUGUCGACUUGGAGGUUGUGCCCUUGAGGCGUGGCUUCCGGAGCUAACGCGUUAAGUCGACCGCCUGGGGAGUACGGCCGCAAGGUUAAAACUCAAAUGAAUUGACGGGGGCCCGCACAAGCGGUGGAGCAUGUGGUUUAAUUCGAUGCAACGCGAAGAACCUUACCUACUCUUGACAUCCAGAGAACUUAGCAGAGAUGCUUUGGUGCCUUCGGGAACUCUGAGACAGGUGCUGCAUGGCUGUCGUCAGCUCGUGUUGUGAAAUGUUGGGUUAAGUCCCGCAACGAGCGCAACCCUUAUCCUUUGUUGCCAGCGGUUAGGCCGGGAACUCAAAGGAGACUGCCAGUGAUAAACUGGAGGAAGGUAGGGAUGACGUCAAGUCAUCAUGGCCCUUACGAGUAGGGCUACACACGUGCUACAAUGGCGCAUACAAAGAGAAGCGACCUCGCGAGAGCAAGCGGACCUCAUAAAGUGCGUCGUAGUCCGGAUUGGAGUCUGCAACUCGACUCCAUGAAGUCGGAAUCGCUAGUAAUCGUGGAUCAGAAUGCCACGGUGAAUACGUUCCCGGGCCUUGUACACACCGC